rnacentral:rRNA from 1 species
AGUGAACGCUGACGGUAGGCCUAACACAUGCAAGUCGAACGGCAGCACAGUAAGAGCUUGCUCUUACGGGUGGCGAGUGGCGGACGGGUGAGGAAUACAUCGGAAUCUACUUUUUCGUGGGGGAUAACGUAGGGAAACUUACGCUAAUACCGCAUACGACCUACGGGUGAAAGCAGAGGAUCUUCGGACCUUGCGCGAUUGAAUGAGCCGAUGUCGGAUUAGCUAGUUGGCGGGGUAAAGGCCCACCAAGGCGACGAUCCGUAGCUGGUCUGAGAGGAUGAUCAGCCACACUGGAACUGAGACACGGUCCAGACUCCUACGGGAGGCAGCAGUGGGGAAUAAUGGACAAUGGGCGCAAGCCUGAUCCAGCCAUACCGCGUGGGUGAAGAAGGCCUUCGGGUUGUAAAGCCCUUUUGUUGGGAAAGAAAAGCAGCAGGUUAAUACCCCGCUGUUCUGACGGUACCCAAAGAAUAAGCACCGGCUAACUUCGUG